CGGGGUGUGGCGCAGUCUGGUAGCGCGUUCCUUUGGGGUGGGAAAGGUCGCGAGUUCAAAUCUCGCCACCCCGA
rnacentral:tRNA from 1 species